rnacentral:rRNA from 1 species
AGAGUUUGAUCCUGGCUCAGAUUGAACGCUGGCGGCAGGCCUAACACAUACAAGUCGAACGGUAACAGGAAGCAGCUUGCUGCUUCGCUGACGAGUGGCGGACGGGUGAGUAAUGUCUGGGAAACUGCCUGAUGGAGGGGGAUAACUACUGGAAACGGUAGCUAAUACCGCAUAACGUCGCAAGACCAAAGAGGGGGACCUUAGGGCCUCUUGCCAUCGGAUGUGCCCAGAUGGGAUUAGCUAGUAGGUGGGGUAACGGCUCACCUAGGCGACGAUCCCUAGCUGGUCUGAGAGGAUGACCAGCCACACUGGAACUGAGACACGGUCCAGACUCCUACGGGAGGCAGCAGUGGGGAAUAUUGCACAAUGGGCGCAAGCCUGAUGCAGCCAUGCCGCGUGUAUGAAGAAGGCCUUCGGGUUGUAAAGUACUUUCAGCGGGGAGGAAGGGAGUAAAGUUAA